GUGAGGAGGAAGCACCCGGCUGGGUCGCUGGCUCCUGGCUCCGGAAGGCGCGCAGGGGCGAUGCAGCAGGAGGCCGGGGCUCCAGUCCCUGGAGUAGCAGCGUGCAGGGUUCAGCGGUGUUUCGGUUGCCCUCUGACCUGACCCCGGGUCCACAAAGGCUUCCCGGCUGUGCUGCUAUGGCCCAGCUUUCCAGUCGCUGCCAAAUUAAUGAGCCCACGUCAGGUUGGGUUUACAGCCCGGCCAGCCAAGCAGCGGAGUGGAAAAGGAGCCUGGGGCAGCUCGCGAGGCUCUUGCACGCGCGUGUGGAACGGCUACUGUCUUUUGUCAUCCCCACCCCCACCCCCACCUCCGCUGGCCAGUCCUAGGAACCCAGGAAAGCUGAGCAUCUUGCGGGUCCACUCUCCACUGCCAGUUAACCUCUUGUCUCCGGAGGGAAACAGCCUGGAUCAGGCAACUUCCAGGAAGAAGAAAAAAAACAUUUCAUUGAGAGUUAACAGCAAUGCUGUGGGUCCGUAGUCUCAGAAAGAAAAAAGAAAUGAACAGCAGCAGGAGGCUCCCCGGAAGUUCCUGGGCUGCGUCCUGCCGUAGCUGAUGGUAACUUGCCCAGAAGACAGCGAACACGCUCAGCGGAGGACACAGAACAGCGUCUACAGUCCCUAGGACGACACAGACACUCAGUUUUGCACAGGAAAAGCUUCUGCUCCCUAGCAGUUAGUGCUUAAACAAAGCCCAGUCACUUGAAGAUGGCAGCUUUUACACAGGUGGCCCUCCGCCGGGGACCUUGAGAGGUUAGAGAAGAUAAGAGUCUAGAGGAGUCUCCUGACAUGGUCCCCCACAUCCUCAUUUUCAUUACUCACUUAUCCAUUUGUUAACUCACCCAACAAGCAUCCAUUGCAUUCCAGACCCCAUUCUAGGACUGUGUCUCCAGCAAUGAUCAAACAGGCCCCAGUUCCGGCCCACGUCUACUCCACUGGCUUGGACGUGGAUAAUGUCAAUAUUGAAGUGUUGUGUUCAGGGGUUAUAAGGUCAGGUGGCUCCAGGAGCCGGACUGGGACUCGAAAAUCUCAAGAUGUUAGGAAACCAGAAAGUGUCUCCAAAUGCUUCCAAAAAUAUAGGAGCAUUUUGGUUUGGU